rnacentral:rRNA from 1 species
UACGUAGGGCGCAAGCGUUGUCCGGAAUUAUUGGGCGUAAAGAGCUCGUAGGCGGCGUGUCACGUCGGUUGUGAAAGCCCGGGGCUUAACUCCGGGUCUGCAGUCGAUACGGGCAGGCUAGAGUUCGGUAGGGGAGAGUCGGAAUUCCUGGUGUAGCGGUGAAAUGCGCAGAUAUCAGGAGGAACACCGGUGGCGAAGGCGAGUCCCUGGACAACACCUGACACUGAGGCACGAAAGCUAGGGGAGCAAACAGG